rnacentral:rRNA from 1 species
UACGGAGGGUGCAAGCGUUAAUCGGAAUUACUGGGCGUAAAGCGCACGCAGGCGGUUUGUUAAGUCAGAUGUGAAAUCCCCGAGCUUAACUUGGGAACUGCAUUUGAAACUGGCAAGCUAGAGUCUUGUAGAGGGGGGUAGAAUUCCAGGUGUAGCGGUGAAAUGCGUGGAGAUCUGGAGGAAUACCGGUGGCGAAGGCGGCCCCCUGGACAAAGACUGACGCUCAGGUGCGAAAGCGUGGGGAGCAAACAGG